rnacentral:lncRNA from 1 species
GGCGGCUUUCAACGAUAAGGGAAAAAGACAUCAGACCUCUCGUUCCUUAAGAAACUCUUAGUUCUCUGUAGGUGCGGCAUGCUCCUGAGUCUGUAGAUGAGGUGCCUAGCUGUGUUACUGUGAGACCUAAGUGCCAGGUAGAGCAAAACCCUGUGGUGGGUGUGAGGCAAACGUAGCAGGUGCACACACUUCCACAGCUACCUCUCUGCAUACACAGUCACCGACAGCCGGGCCCCGCCCCUCCCCUCCUCACUUAGAAUCACUUCUUGCAGAGGGUCAUAAUUAUUUCCAAAUAUUACUGUUCUGAUGACUUCCUCCUCCUAGUGCAAUUUUUCACUUCUUCCAACCUCUGGUUCCUGGGCAGAGCCAUACCCUGGAACUGGCCUGGUCUGCGUGUCUUCCCAGCAGGGGAGGACUCCACAGACGGCGUCCAAGUGGGUAGGCAAGUCACAGCCGCCAUAGCAGAUGACUCCUAUUUAUUUUGCAUUAAGAUUUUAAUUUGUAUAUUUUUGUGAUUUAUUUUGGCAUUGUUAUGAGUUUGACUCUCGGGGAGUUUUGUUGUUAUGACUCUUGUGUCUUUUGUCACAAAACAAUGAUAAUAUUUGCUAAACAAUAUAUGGAAUUUAUUUUUGAUUGGUAAUAAAAAAUGAAAUGCACAU